rnacentral:tRNA from 1 species
GCCUGAGUGGCUCAGUCAGUUGAGUGUCUGACUUUGGCUCAGGUCAUGAUCUCGCGGUCUGUGAGUUCAAGCCCCGCGUCAGGCU